rnacentral:rRNA from 1 species
GAUGAACGCUGGCGGCGUGCCUAAUACAUGCAAGUCGAACGAACGGACGCGAAGCUUGCUUCUCUGAUGUUAGCGGCGGACGGGUGAGUAACACGUGGAUAACCUACCUAUAAGACUGGGAUAACUUCGGGAAACCGGAUCUAAUACCGGAUAAUAUUUUGAACCGCAUUGUUCAAAAGUGAAAGACGGUCUUUCUGGCACUUAUAGAUGGAUCCGCGCUGCAUUAGCUAGUUGUUAAUGUAACGGUUUACCAAGGCAACCAGGCAUAGACGAACUGAGAGCGUGAUAGGCCACCUUGGAACUUGAACAGGGACCAGACGACUACGGGAGGCAACAGUAGGGAAUCUUACGCAACAGGCGAAAGCAUGACGGAGCAGCGCCGAGUGAGUGCUGAAGGUGUUGGGAUCGUAAAACUCUGUUAUGGGGGAAGAACAUAUGUGUAAGGAAGUGAAGACAUCUUGACGGUAACUAAUAAGAAAGCCCCGGCUAACUACGUG